UCCUGUCUGGUUAAUCUGAAAAUGUAGUCCUUAUACAUGAAAUCUAAUUUUGCAAUGCUUUCCUGCUGAAGCAGUCCUUCAUUUUCCUUUCAUUCGUAGCUAACCACACAUUUGUAUCUACAAUACCUUGCAGAAAUGAAGUCAUAGCCACUGAUUUGCACCCAGAGUGACUGCCAUUACAUAGCCUGAAACUAGUUACAACAUCGAUGACUUUGUUACUUAUGUGAUUUUUAUUAAAUCAAAAAUCAAACUGUGGGAUCUUAGAAAGAUGCCUGGGUUAUUUUUCAUUUCAAUUGAUUAGAUGCCAAAGAGGCAAAAAUCAUAGGUGAUACUUAAUUCUGGUCUGAUCUUCUUUAUUUAUUUCUGAACAAAGGUCUUGCCCAUAAAUCUAGUGAAGACAUUAUUAUAUCAAUCAGUAAAUUACGUGGCAUGGAUGCUAUGGACAUUGCUGUCUAUCAGAGCAGUCUGAGGAUACUGCAAGGCAAGAAAACUCUGUUACUGCAGUGGUCAGAAAUUAUUAUUGCUAUUGUACCAGUAAAGGAAACUGAGCCUCAGAAGACUUAAUGCAACUCAUUUAAGGUCCCAAGCUUAACACAUGAGGCCCGGGAUUUGAAUCCAGUUCAUUUGGCUGCAAACGCCCAUUUUUCACCACUUCCAUCUAUUGGACUCAUGUUAAAUAAAUAUCAGCCUAAAUAUA